rnacentral:lncRNA from 1 species
GAUAUAUAAAUGCAGUUUAAAUACAGUAUGUUUUGCUGUUCUUCUCAUUGGUCCUGUAGGUGCCUGCAGGCUGCUGGUUACUCUGCUGUAUGGACUGGAGUCUUACCUGGAUUCUACAGAGGACAGCAGCUUCCUACAGGACAUGCUGAUGGGCAACACCCUGCACGUCCUCAUCAAGCUCCAUGAAAGGCUGCAGAGGUUCGAGGCCCGGCGUCCGUCUCCGGUGCAGGACGAUGCUGGGGGUCUGGCGCGGGAGCUAGCUGAAGAGCUGCGAGCUUUACAGGCUAAACCAGAGGUGGUGGAGUUGCUGAGAUUGCUGUCUAAACCCCAUGUUCAGGUAAGAAGAGUGUGGUUUAUAUUGUGUUGGAUUCUUUGGCUUAAGG